UACACCUCUUGUGAAGGCACCGCAGGCCUUCAGAAAGGAAGCCUUUGGCUCCUUACAGACGCUGAGCAGCCUGAACACCCCUCCUGGGAGAUUGAUGAGUCCGGCUAACCUUGGUGCCUAGAUGGAAACUCGGAAACAAAGUGACUCAGAGGAUUAAGAGGAAGUCAAUGUCAGCACCAGGAUUAGAAUUCACACUUGCCUGGUUUCUCAGCCCAGGGACCAGCUCCCCCGUGGAUACUAGCUUUGUCUCCCUCUGAGUGAGGCGAGGACAGGGUGUUUCCACAUGUGGAAAGACCCCUGCUAUUCUCAGGCUUCUGCCUCAUAGGAAGGCCCUUCCUUUUAAUAAAUUGCAGAGCUGGG
ensembl:processed_transcript 4930449E01Rik uncharacterized LOC110325039